UGAAUAAAUAAGCUAGAACCAUAUAUUAAAAGAUCAAAAGUUUACAUAAUGGCUUGUGUGAAUACCUCAAAACCCACAAGGGUAUAUAUAACUACAUAUGUCUACGAUAGCUUUGCAAAGGAUGAAAAAAAGAUGAAGAUGUCAUGCCUAAAUUCAUGAUGUCUCAACAAAUCUUGGGUUGAAUCUACUCUUAACUACCUUGCCUUGUGUUUCUCUCUAGAAAUGUCAUCUCUCUCCAAGACUUGAACCUAUGUGCUGCUUCCUCCUUCUUGUCUUCAAAACGUGAAGAAGAAAAACUUGGUUACUGUGCGGCUCCCUUCAUAGUGGCGUGAUGCCUCUCUUUUGUCUUCAGCCCUUUCCUUUUCUUUUUCUUCACUCGGGUCAACAAUAAAACAUGGGUCAAAGGCCCAAUUGUAAAUUUCUAAAUCCCUUAGCACAUG
rnacentral:lncRNA from 1 species